rnacentral:lncRNA from 1 species
UACGUAGAGAUUUUAAUUUAGCUACAUAAAAAUUGUUAUAAGAAAAAAUAUUAUUUAUAUCUUUUAUUUUAUAUAAAAAAUUAGUAAAUGAAAGAACAUGGUAGAAGAAUAAAAGCUAGAUGAUCACAUCAUUGAAUUAAUAAAAAAGAAGAUUCAAUUGACAUUAAUAUAUUUUUUUAGAAUUUACUAAUUUCUAGUGCAUAUAAA